rnacentral:rRNA from 1 species
CAUUGUAGCUUGCUACAGAUGACGACCGGCGCACGGGUGCGUAACGCGUAUAGAACCUACCUUUUACAUAGGGAUAGCCUUUAGAAAUGAAGAUUAAUACCUUAUAGUAUUGAGACUUGGCAUCAAGUUUUAAUUAAAGAUUUAUCGGUAAAAGAUGGCUAUGCGUCCUAUUAGUUAGUUGGUAAGGUAACGGCUUACCAAGACAUCGAUAGGUAGGGGUCCUGAGAGGGAGAUCCCCCACACUGGUACUGAGACACGGACCAGACUCCUACGGGAGGCAGCAGUGAGGAAUAUUGGACAAUGGAGGCAACUCUGAUCCAGCCAUGCCGCGUGUAGGAAGAAUGCCCUAUGGGUUGUAAACUACUUUUAUACAGGAAGAAACACUGGUAUGUAUACCAGCUUGACGGUACUGUAAGAAUAAGGACCGGCUAACUCCGUGCCAGCAGCCGCGGUAAUACGGAGUGGUCCGAGCGUUAUCCGGAAUCAUUGGGUUUAAAGGGUCCGCAGGCGGUCGAUUAAGUCAGAGGUGAAAUCCCAUAGCUCAACUAUGGAACUGCCUUUGAUACUGGUUGACUUGAGUCAUAU